AUGAACCCGGCGAUGGCGGCCGAGCUCCGGCGCCGCGAGAGUGAAUCGGUGCUCUUCUCCCGCCUGCUCUCCUUCGCCCACAGCGCCCUCCCCGACCCGCCCGUCUCCGCCGCCGCUCGCCUCUCCGCCCUCCUCCUCCCCCACGACGACCACAUCAGCCGCCUGCCCGACGCGCUCCUCCGCAACAUCGUCUCUCGCCUCCCCGUCAAGGACGCCGCGCGCACCGCCGCCCUCUCCAGCCGCUGGCGCGGGGUCUGGCGCUCCGCCCCGCUCGUCCUCGCCGACGCCCACCUCCUCCCCGACCUCAUCCCCGCCGUCACGCGCGCCGACGCACGCCGCGUCCCCUCCGUCGUGUCCCUCAUCCUCGCCGCGCACCCAGGCCCCUUCCGCUGCAUCCACCUCACCGUCAGCCACUUGGAGGAGUACCAGGGCCCGCUCGCGCGCUGGCUGGGGCUCCUCGCCGCCAAGGGCACCCAGGAGCUCGUCCUCGCCAACCGCCCGCCGCCGGUCGUCCUCCGGCUCCCCGCCGCCAUCUUCGGCAUUGACACACUCACCCGUCUCUACCUUGCACUCUGGAAGUUCCCCGACAUCCCCCGCACCGCCUACUUCCCCAACCUUCGCGAGCUCGGGCUCUGCACCGUCGUCAUCGAGAGCCGCCACCUGGACUCCAUCCUCGCCAGGAGCCCCGUGCUGGAGACCCUCUGCCUCCAGGGAAACAUGCUCAUGGAUCGCCUCACCAUCAACAGCAGAAGCAUUCGGUGUGUGUACGUCGUUGCCACCUCCGAUUUGGACAUCACCGUGGAGGAAGCCCCACAACUGCAGCGCCUCAUCGUCUGGGUAGCGUCCACCUGCAAAGGAGGCUCGCCGCGCAAGACGAUCAAGAUUGGCCGUGUCCAGGCACUGGGAUUGAUCGGCUACUUGGAGCCGGAAUUCCACACUCUGCAGGUCGGCGACACCACCAUCAAGCCUUCGGCAAAGCCUAGUCCUUUCACCAUGCUACCAACCGUGAAGAUCCUUGGCUUGAAAGUGCGUUUUGGUGUCCGCAAUGAAGCCAAGAUGCUGCCUUGCUUCCUCAGAUGUUUUCCAAAGGUUGAGAGGCUGCACAUCGAGUCCAAGGAAACUAUUGAGAGCAGUAGCAAGAUCAACCUCAAGUUCUGGAAGGAGUCUGGCACCAUCGCGAGCAUCUGCUCAAGCGUUAAUCUGAUCAUCUUCCACAACUUCCGAGGAGACCAGUGCGAGCUUUGCUUCCUCAAGUUCAUCCUGGAGAGUGCACAAAUGCUGACAAAGCUGGUGGUCGUGUAUCGCAAAGGAACCUUCGCCUCGCUGGCUGAGGCGCGUUCCAAGGUGGACCCUCUGUUCGACGUGUCAUGGGCCAGUAAGUGCUGUUCUCUGCGGCUUGUCCAGAGCGCACUUGCUGAAGGCGAAGGCCUCAAGAUACUCAACUUCAAAAGAGGAUCAAACUUUUCUCUGAGCGACCCUCUUGCCUUCACCGGCCGAUGUUAG
rnacentral:rRNA from 1 species